rnacentral:rRNA from 1 species
UCCAGACUCCUACGGGAGGCAGCAGUGAGGAAUAUUGGUCAAUGGCCGAGAGGCUGAACCAGCCAAGUCGCGUGAGGGAUGACGGCCCUACGGGUUGUAAACCUCUUUUGUCGGGGAGCAAAGAGAGUCACGUGUGGCUCAUUGAGAGUACCCGAAGAAAAAGCAUCGGCUAACUCCGUGCCAGCAGCCGCGGUAAUACGGAGGAUGCGAGCGUUAUCCGGAUUUAUUGGGUUUAAAGGGUGCGCAGGCGGAGGUGCAAGUCAGUGGUCAAAUUGCGGGGCUCAACCCCGUACUGCCGUUGAAACUGGCAGACUUGAGUUGGCGAGAAGUACGCGGAAUGCGCGGUGUAGCGGUGAAAUGCAUAGAUAUCGCGCAGAACUCCGAUUGCGAAGGCAGCGUACCGGCGCCAGACUGACGCUGAGGCACGAAAGCGUGGGGAUCGAACAGGAUUAGAUACCCUAGUA